GGGAGUGUGGUCUAGAGGUAUGAUUUACGCUUAGGGUUUAACUCUAAUAUGCGUAAGGUCCCGGGUUCGAUUCCCGGCUCUCCCC